CUACGGGUGGCAGCAGUGAGGAAUAUUGGUCAAUGGGCGCGAGCCUGAACCAGCCAUCCCGCGUGCAGGAUGACGGCCCUAUGGGUUGUAAACUGCUUUUCUAUGCCAAGAAACCCUGUUACGAGUAACAGGUUGCCGGUAGCAUAGGAAUAAGCAUCGGCUAACUCCGGGCCAGCAGCCGCGGUAAUACGGAGGAUGCAAGCGUUAUCCGGAUUCAUUGGGUUUAAAGGGUGCGCAGGUGGGCUUGUAAGUCAGUGGUGAAAUGCUGCCGCUUAACGGUAGAACUGCCAUUGAUACUGCGAGUCUUGAGUAUGGUUGAGGUAGGCGGAAUGUGUUGUGUAGCGGUGAAAUGCAUAGAUAUGACACAGAACGCCAAUUGCGAAGGCAGCUUACUAAGCCAUUACUGACGCUGAGGCACGAAAGCGUGGGGAGCGAACAGGAUUAGAUACCCUGGUAGUC
rnacentral:rRNA from 1 species